GACGAACGCUGGCGGCGUGCUUAACACAUGCAAGUCGAACGGAAAGGCCCUGCUUUUGUGGGGUGCUCGAGUGGCGAACGGGUGAGUAGCACGUGAGUAACCUGCCCUUGACUUUGGGAUAACUUCAGGAAACUGGGGCUAAUACCGGAUAGGAGCUCCUGCUGCAUGGUGGGGGUUGGAAGGUUUCGGCGGUUGGGGAUGGACUCGCGGCUUAUCAGCUUGUUGGUGGGGUAGUGGCUUACCAAGGCUUUGACGGGUAGCCGGCCUGAGAGGGUGACCGGCCACAUUGGGACUGAGAUACGGCCCAGACUCCUACGGGAGGCAGCAGUGGGGAAUAUUGCACAAUGGGCGGAAGCCUGAUGCAGCAACGCCGCGUGCGGGAUGACGGCCUUCGGGUUGUAAACCGCUUUCGCCUGUGACGAAGCGUGAGUGACGGUAAUGGGUAAAGAAGCACCGGCUAACUACGUG
rnacentral:rRNA from 1 species